UUACUACUCCCUCCGUCCCAAAAUUCUUGUCUUAGAUUUGUCUAGAUACGGAUGUACCUAAUACUAAAACGUGACUUGAUACAUCCGUAUUUAGACAAAUCUAAGACAAGAAUUUUGGGACGGAGGGAGUAUCAG
rfam:Triticum urartu cultivar G1812 contig487549, whole genome shotgun sequence.